CGAGGAGAUGGACGAACUGAGCCUGAGUUACUCGCAGUUGAGCAGCAGUGGCUGCGAGGAAGCCGAAG
ensembl:snoRNA snoRNA:Me18S-A1374